rnacentral:rRNA from 1 species
CAGUAGCCACGGGAAUACGAAGGGUGCAAGCGUUACUCGGAAUUACUGGGCGUAAAGCGUGCGUAGGUGGUGGUUUAAGUCCGUUGUGAAAGCCCUGGGCUCAACCUGGAAUUGCAGUGGAUACUGGGUCACUAGAGUGUGGUAGAGGAUAGUGGAGUUUCCGGUGUAGCAGUGAAUGCGUAGAGAUCGGAAGGAACAUCUGUGGCGAAGGCGACUAUCUGGGCCAACACUGACACUGAGGCACGAAAGCGUGGGGAGCAAACAGGAUUAGAUACCCGAGUAGUCCCUGUCUCUUAUACAC